rnacentral:rRNA from 1 species
UACGUAGGGGGCAAGCGUUGUCCGGAUUUAUUGGGCGUAAAGGGCGCGCAGGCGGCCUUUUAAGUCAGUUGUGAAAGGUCUCGGCUCAACCGAGGAGUGGCAGCUGAAACUGGAAGGCUUGAGUGCAGGAGAGGAGAGUGGAAUUCUCGGUGUAGCGGUGGAAUGCGUAGAGAUCGGGAGGAACACCAGUGGCGAAGGCGACUCUCUGGCCUGUAACUGACGCUGAGGCGCGAAAGCGUGGGGAGCAAACAGGAUUAGAUACCCUGGUAGUCCACGCCGUAAACGAUGAGUGCUAGGUGUUGGGGGCUCUUAUGCCCGCAGUGCCGAAGGAAACCCAAUAAGCACUCCGCCUGGGGAGUACGGCCGCAAGGCUGAA